AUACGUAGGGUGCGAGCGUUAUCCGGAAUCAUUGGGCGUAAAGAGCUCGUAGGCGGUUCAGCAAGUCGGCUGUGAAAGUUCGAGGCUCAACCUCGAAAUUGCAGUCGAUACUGCUGUGACUCGAGUCCAGUAGAGGAGAAUGGAAUUCUCGGUGUAGCGGUGAAAUGCGCAGAUAUCGAGAGGAACACCAGUAGCGAAGGCGGUUCUCUGGGCCGGCACUGACGCUGAGGAGCGAAAGCGUGGGGAGCAAACAGAAUUAGAAACCCCAGUAGUCC
rnacentral:rRNA from 1 species